UACGUAGGGUGCGAGCGUUAAUCGGAAUUACUGGGCGUAAAGCGUGCGCAGGCGGUUCGUUAAGACAGAUGUGAAAUCCCCGGGCUCAACCUGGGAACUGCAUUUGUGACUGCAUGGCUAGAGUACGGUAGAGGGGGAUGGAAUUCCGGCGUGUAGCAGUGAAAUGCGUAGAUAUGCGGAGGAACACCGAUGGCGAAGGCAAUCCCCUGGACCUGUACUGACGCUCAUGCACGAAAGCGUGGGGAGCAAACAGG
rnacentral:rRNA from 1 species